rnacentral:pre_miRNA from 1 species
CGUUGUUCACUUUAGCUGGUUGACUUCGGGUCAAAUUGUCUUGAGUAUCAUUUGGUCCCCUUCAACCAGCUGUAGUUGGCAUCAGCU